rnacentral:rRNA from 3 species
UUGAAUUGAAGAGUUUGAUCAUGGCUCAGAUUGAACGCUGGCGGCAGGCUUAACACAUGCAAGUCGAGCGGUAACGGGGAGUAGCUUGCUACUUUGCCGACGAGCGGCGGACGGGUG